GUGCUCACUUUGGCAGCACAUAUACUAAAAUUGGAAUGAUACUGAGAUUAGCAUGGCCCCUGCGCAAGGGUGACAGGCAAAUUCAUGAAGUGUUCCAUUAAAAA